GACGAACGCUGGCGGCAUGCCUAACACAUGCAAGUCGAACGGAGAUUAUUUCGGUAAUCUUAGUGGCGAACGGGUGAGUAACGCGUAGGCAACCUGCCCUUUAGUUGGGGACAACAUUCCGAAAGGGGUGCUAAUACCGAAUGUGACAGUUUUUCCGCAUGGGAUUACUGUGAAAGAUGGCCUCUAUUUAUAAGCUAUCGCUAAAGGAUGGGCCUGCGUCUGAUUAGUUAGUUGGUAGGGUAACGGCCUACCAAGACGAUGAUCAGUAGCUGGACUGAGAGGUUGAACGGCCACAUUGGGACUGAGAUACGGCCCAG
rnacentral:rRNA from 1 species